rnacentral:rRNA from 1 species
CGCCUUUUGAAAAUGUAGAAGGUAUAGUCUGCCCACUGAAGAAUUGAAGGGCCGCAGUAUUUUGACUGUGCAAAGGUAGCAUAAUCAUUAGUCUUCUAAUUAAAGGCUGGCAUGAAUGGCUGGACGAAGUAUAAGCUGUCUCACAAAAAUAAUUUUUAAUUUAACUUUUCAGUGAAAAGGCUGAAAUAUAAUUAUAGGACGAGAAGACCCUAUAGAGCUUUAUAAGAUAAUAGAUUACUAAUGUGGCUGUAAAUCUGGUAAUCUGUAAACUUAUUUUGUUGGGGUGACAAGGGAAUAAAUAAACUUUCUUUAAUAUUUAACAUAAAUGAAUGUGUUUAUGAUCCAUUUUUAGUGAUUACAAGAUUAAGUUACC